AUGGUUGUGUAUGAGUUGCUGUCAGGUUGUAGGCCUGCGUUGGGCCAGCACCAGCUCCAGAUAGCUAAGAAGCUGUCUAAAGGGAUCCGUCCCACCCUGGGAAACCCAGAGGAAGUCCAGUUCCACUGUCUGCAUGGCCUGAUGAUUGAGUGCUGGGACACUAAGCCUGAGAAGGCCCUGGCCAUGCAGUGUGUGAGGCAGAUGCAGGAGCCCAGUUUCCCAUGUCUGAAGUACCUGCUGGCCUGUGACACACUCCCAGCUCUUCCUGUCCCACUUGCAGGGACACAGCGCUGUGUUCUGGGACGGGGACAAGGACGACAGGAACUACAGUGUGGUGAACGUAGAGACGGGUCAGGUAGAGGUGAAGAGGAUGCCGUGUCCAGGAACCAGGCUGAGCUGUCAGAUGAAGAUGGAUAACACCUUAUGGACCGCCACAGAGGAGCAGGAAGUGUUCAUCUACAGUCUAAAGGAGAUGUGUCCACUGAGCCAGCCCCAGAAACAGAUCUCCUGUCCUGCUAUAGUCACCUGUCUGUUCCCCGUGCCCGCCAUAGACCAGACCCAGGCGUGUGUCUUCAUGGGGAUGUCAGACGGUCUGGUGGCAGUGUACUCCCUAAUGGAUGACAUGCCUGUAGAAGGAGAGACCUACCUGUGUUCUCACACCCUCAAUAUGACCAUGUUUGGGAUGGAGGACUCUGACCCCAGACAGAGACCCUACCCAGUCAGGAGCAUGGUCCUGGUCCACAGUGGAUCCCAGCUGUGGUACUCCCAUGGUCCAGGCCUGCUGGUGAUCGACUGCCGGACCCUCCAGGCGGUGCAUCGUCUGGACCCCUACGACCCACCAUCCUCUAUACAGGCCCUGGCCUCCAGCCCCUGUCUGUGGGGGGAUGAGGCGGUGUGGACCCUGGACGACCACACAAACACCCUGCAGCUGUACCACGCUGCCACCUACCAGCUCUGUGCCACGUACAGCUGUGGAGACGCCAACCCUCUCCGGGACGUGUUCACUGUACAGCGACCUGCAGGGGUUACCAUGGCUACUAGUCCUGACCUUGACUCAAAGAGGAAGAGUCUAGAUGAGGAGGAGGAGGAAUGUCCAAACGACAAAGUGACGCUGAUCUACAGCGAGGAGGCGGGAACUCAGAUCAUCCAGCACCAGGAUUCGCUGACGGACUACUGCGCCAUCUCCUCUGACUCCACCCCUCCGCUGGGAUUUGACCGAUCCGGCCCCUUGUCAGAGCCGCUGGGAUUGGACAGAACCAGUUCCUGCGCGCUCAGCUCAUUGGCUAGUUCCAGCAGUAUGCCUUUUUCCACUGAGGAGGAAGAGAGGCCUCAGGACCACCCAGACGACCCUGACCCUGUGGUGAACUCUGACCCCACCACAACCUUUACCACCACUCCCCCCCACCUGCAGGCCCUCACUGUGCUGGCUGUCAAUGGAACCCUUUGGAUCCCCAGGAGUGGUGGUGACGUGAUGGUGAUCGAGGUCCAGCGGCAGACAGGACAGCUCAGGGGGCGUGUCAUCGCUGUGCUCUGCCCCCCUGGAACUUCCUCUUACGGGACCCUGGAGGAGGCCGCACUGGUGGCAAAGGACACGGUUGUGUGUGGCUUUCGCAAUGAAAAUAGGGCCUGGUGCCUGUGUGUCUGGCGGGGCUGGGGCCCCGUGAGCUAGAGGUCUUCUACCAGUCCUACGAGGAGCUGGGGAGGCUGGAGACCAGCAUGAGGAAAAGAAGGUAGCCGUUGUACAGCACCGGCCGUGGUGUCCCAGGCAGAGGCUAGCAGUCACAGAAUCAUAGCUCUCUGUCUGUCUCUGUGUGUGUGUGAGAGAGAGAGAGCGAGAAAAUUCACAGGCCCCCAGUGUUCAGAGCAGGGGGCCGCGGAGCUAUGACAUCAGAGUGACAAGGAGGGGUGAGGGAGAUGGUGAAGCAAAAGAGAGGACAGGAGAGAUUGGUAUAUGUUGAGAGGAGACUCAGGAAUGGGGGGGGGGUGCCUCAUCCUGUCAUAGCUUGGGCCCAAACCCCCUGUGUGCCCCCAACACACCCCACACUUCCCCCUCUGGAGCAUCACUAAGAUGGAUUGACUACCAGUUAAACCUGAGCCUGAAGAUAGAAGGGACUAGGGUUGCAAUUUUCCGGUAACUACCAAAAAUGACAGGUUUUCAAGAAAUCCAGAAUCUACCAACCAGGAUUUGUGGAAAACCUGGGGAUUUUGGGAAGGUUCCUGGAGUUGUGCAACCAUAAAACAGAUGGUAGGACAAAACGGGCCGUAAAGACACGUGUCCCAGAUCUACUGAACACAGAGUCUCCUCACUUCACAGGACAGUGGAACGUAACACUCAACUGGGUUGUGUGUGUGAGAUAUAUGAGUAAACAACACCGUGAGCAGUUCCGUUUCCUCAUAUGCCAUCUCCCAACAGACUAAGGACACAGCAGAAAGGACUUACCCCUGCCCUGCAGUAUAGAGACUGGGACUGUCUCUAAACCAAUGACACUCUCCUAUACCAAUCUCUCACACUAGCUCAGAUAGACAUUAGAUGAAGGGUUCAUUAGAUUUUAAACAUGUUCUGCUGCUGGGCUAAACUCUGACUUGUGCAUUUAACAAGUAACAAAACUGUAGACAGAAGUCAGGGUUAACUAUGUGUAGGAGUUUGCCCUUCGGUUUGAUGUCCGUCAGUUUUACUUCAAGUGUUGGUGCUUGAAGUUGCCAGUACUAUAUUGUGUAUUGAGUCUGCACCCCAAAUGGCACCCUAUUCCCUACAUAGUGCACUAUGGGCCCUGGUCAAAAGUAGUGCACUGAGUAGGGUUCCAUUUGGGACAUCCAGUGUGUUGAUACCAACAUGGGAGGGUUUGCUAACUUCACUGCUGUGUCAGUGAGAUGGUGUUCAUUUCUGGUGUAAUAUGUUCAAAUCCUCUUCAGUGUAAAUAUACUGUACGACCAUGAAUAAACUUCUUCUCAUA